GACGGAGGAUGCAAGCGUUAUCCGGAACGAUUGGGCGUAAAGCGUCCGCAGGUGGCAGUUCAAGUCUGCUGUCAAAGACCGGGGCUUAACUUCGGAAAGGCAGUGGAAACUGAACAGCUAGAGUAUGGUAGGGGCAGAGGGAAUUCCUGGUGUAGCGGUGAAAUGCGUAGAGAUCAGGAAGAACAUCGGUGGCGAAGGCGGCUUUCUGUCUGUAACUGACGCUGAGGCGCGAAAGCGUGGGGAGCAAACAGG
rnacentral:rRNA from 1 species